rnacentral:misc_RNA from 1 species
UCCACAAACUGCCCUCUUAAUUAAAAUUCUCACCGAACUUCGCCUUCUCCGGGGUGCAUCUUCGUGGCGAGCCAGCUCUGGACGUGUUCAGGGGUUCCGGGUGAAUAGGUGAGCAAUUUGCAACUGGUGUAGUUUGCUGGCUAGAAAUCCUCGAGGGUGGCAACAGGGAAUGGGGCAGCAAGAGACUCAACUGGUGUUGAGCAGCCCACCAUGCAGCCCCGGUCGACCCAUAACCACUAUACAUCAGGCCACAACGCAUCUCUGGAAGCCAGAAAAUUUCUAUUUAGCACGAAAAACCUGGUGGAGACGAGGGUGAAAGCGCUGAAACGGUCCGGUGUCGGUUGGCCGAGGCUGGUGGAGGAAACCGAAGAAGGAUUGGAGGAUGUCGCCGUGGUGUUCAAGCUACUUCCUGCCGCGCCAGGACUCCACGGCGAAGGCGGCAGCGUGACGCUAGGGCUGCUAGGCGGUGAGAGCGUUGCCGGGGGUGACAGGGCGCCCGCCGGAACUCCAAUGGCGCUGUAGUGAAGUUCCGGUUUCAUAUACCAAGUACGCGGCACCGCUUCUGAUGAGCAAACCGUGAAAACAUACAUUUUUAUACAUCUUUUACACGCUCCUGCUGUCGCUAGACUGAGGACUUUUAUGCGAUCGUGGAAAAUUUGAAGGCGCACGAAUGGACAGAAUGUACGUAACACGGAAAAAUGUAUAAAAUGUUCAAAAUAUGAUAUUCCUUGUUAUACGUAGUAGAUAAGACAAUUGCCCACCUGGCUUCCAACUUCUAAAUUCUAAGUAUCGUAAAAAUUUGAAUAAACAUUCACCACUUACUUAUCGUUUAACGUUAUCGUGACAUUACAAAAAUUGUUUAAUGCAGAUGGAGUAUCGCACCCUACAGGCGAUAAAUACGUUUUUCAUAGAAACGGUCGAGUAAUAAAUAUUUU